GCGAGAAAACUUUGCAAUGUGCGAAAGCACGACAAGGUUAAUCCGAGUGGUUUCUGCUAAAGAAACCUUUUGUCAGUCCUAGAAACACUAACGAAUAAGGGGUGGGCAAGUUCUGGUGUCAGCCGCCGCGGUAAAACCAGCACCUCAAGUGGUCAGGAUGAUUAUUGGGCCUAAAGCAUCCGUAGCUCGUUUUGUAAGUUUUCGGUUAAAUCCAUGCGCUUAACGUAUGGGCUGCCGGGAAUACUGCAUAACUAGGAAGUGGGAGAGGUAGACGGUACUCGGUAGGAAGGGGUAAAUCCUUUGAUCUAUUGAUGACCACCUGUGGCGAAGGCGGUCUACCAGAACACGUUCGACGGUGAGGGAUGAAAGCUGGGGGAGCAAACAGGAUUAGAUACCCCCGUAGUCCCUGAGCGGGCUGGCAAGGCGCAU
rnacentral:rRNA from 1 species